rnacentral:rRNA from 1 species
UACGAAGGGGGCUAGCGUUGCUCGGAAUCACUGGGCGUAAAGCGCACGUAGGCGGAUUGUUAAGUCAGGGGUGAAAUCCUGGAGCUCAACUCCAGAACUGCCUUUGAUACUGGAGAUCUUGAGUCCGGGAGAGGUGAGUGGAACUGCGAGUGUAGAGGUGAAAUUCGUAGAUAUUCGCAAGAACACCAGUGGCGAAGGCGGCUCACUGGCCCGGUACUGACGCUGAGGUGCGAAAGCGUGGGGAGCAAACAGG